UGUUUAUGCAUUUGGAGCUAUACUUAGUAGCUGCUUAAUAAACACUUAGCUGCAUCCAAGCCAGUUAAAGUUUGCAUGAAUAUUGUUAACAAAGAAACCGUAUUCACUCUAAAAGCUUUUAUGAAGACUUGCACAAUGUUAGAAGUUUGUUAUUUCAUUUUUAAAUUGCCUGUUGUGCUUCUGCUUCUUACGCGCCUUGUCACCUUUGAGGAUUUCUGGAUCUCACUUUUCUUGUGGUAGGUAAGAAAGGGGAAGGAGGAUUGUUAUGUAAUGAAUGAAUAGCUGCUGUUUACAAAUCACUUCCAUGUGCUGUUUUAACGGCAUGGUGUGUAGUGCAUACAGUAAGAAAUACUGGAGCGGAAGAUCUGCCUGCUCUCAAGGAUUUCCAAAUCAAUCCCUUAGUUUCUUAGAGAAGAUAAUAAAUUUAGAUAAGACAAUUGCUAUAAGAUUUAAAUGAAAGUAUGUAAUCUGACCAGACAUGAUAGUUUGGGAGGAUACAUCA
rnacentral:lncRNA from 1 species